rnacentral:lncRNA from 1 species
GGGGAGUUUGGACACGCUUGUGUCCAGGGGAAGUUUGAGAAUGUGGCUGAGCUUCAAUUGGCCCUUUUUCAGCUGCGGGCUUGCUGGAGUCGCCCGCCUGUCAUUUUUUCGUGGCCUCCUCAUCCUUCAGCUUGAAAGCUUCCUCUGGUCGGGCAUAUCCUUCGGCCCGAGCCAGCAAAUCAGCGAAGUCCCUAAGAUACUUUUUUUCUAAGGAAAAUAGA